rnacentral:rRNA from 1 species
AUGGCCGCGUCAGCCAAAGUGCUUCACCCGCCACUGUCGGACCUCGCCGUACAGCAUCUCUGCGCCGGCGGCGUUGCCCAUGACGAUUCGGCGGGACUGCCCUUGCCUCCGCGGCUGCCGAUCCCCAGGGAACUGAUGGACGAUUUGUGCACCGGUUUGGACACCGGCGACGUCGGCAAGAACGUGGACCUGUUCAGGCAGUUCAUGGCCCUGGAGAAGGAGCUCGACCUGCUUGAGUGCGAGGAGGAGGACCUGCGGGUCGAGAUCGCGGACCUGCUGCCCGUGUUCCGGCUCAUGGAGGCAGAGCAUGAGUACCAGCAUGAGACCAAGUGCAGCGGCGCCCUCAUCGUCGGCCACGUAGUCGAGGUUAUCGACGAGGGCCACGCCGUCGUCACCACCAGCGCCAGGCCCUUCGCCUUCUGCGUGCCCGUCCUCGGCGACGUGGACCGCGCGCUCCUCAAGCCAUCGGCCAACGUCGCGCUGUCCAUGUCGAACCUCGCGGUCGUCCAAGUCCUGCCGCCGGACUCCGGCUGGACCGUGCCCCUCGUCAAGGCCACCGAGAGGCCGAGCGUCACCUACGCGGACGUGGUCGGGUGCGACGAGCAGAAGCGGGAGGUCCUCGAGGCCGUGGAGCUGCCGCUGACGCACCCGGAGCUGUUCGCCCGCGCCGGCGUGGAGGCGCCGCGGGGCGUGCUCCUGCACGGCCCGCCGGGCACCGGCAAGACCAUGCUGGCCAAAGCCGUCGCGCAUCACACGUCGGCGGCCUUCAUCCGCGUGAGCGGCUCGGAGUUCGUGAACAGGCACCCGGGCGAGGGGCCCAGGAUGGUGCGCGAGGUGUUCCAGGCCGCCCGCGACAACGCGCCGGCCAUCAUCUUCUUCGACGAGGUGGACGCCAUCGCGUCUGCCCGGACCGACUCCGACGACGCCUCAGCCGCCGACCGCGAGGUGUACAGGGUGCUGCUGGAGCUGCUCGCGCAGAUGGACGGCUUCGACCAGUGCCCCGACGUGCGGGUGAUCAUGGCGACAAACCGUGCCGACGCGCUGGACCCGGCGCUGCUGCGGCCGGGGCGCCUGGACCGCAGGGUGGAGUUCCCGCUGCCGGGGAGGGCGCAGAAACGUCGGCUGUUCCAGGCGUGCACGGCGGGGAUGCCCCUUGACGGCGGCGUCGACCUGGAGGACCUGGUGGCCCGGCACGAGGAGAUGAGCGCUGCGGACAUCGACGCCGUGUGCCGCGAGGCUGGCAUGCGGGCCGUGCGCGACCGCCGGUGCGUGGUGACGCGCGAGGACUUGGAGGAGGGCUACCACGCCGUCGCCAAGCAUAUCGACCGCGGCGCUGACCAGUUCGCGUUCUACAGCUUAUAG